rnacentral:rRNA from 1 species
UACGUAGGGUGCGAGCGUUAAUCGGAAUUACUGGGCGUAAAGCGUGCGCAGGCGGUGAUGUAAGACAGGUGUGAAAUCCCCGGGCUUAACCCGGGAACUGCAUUUGUGACUGCAUCGCUGGAGUGCGGCAGAGGGGGAUGGAAUUCCGCGUGUAGCAGUGAAAUGCGUAGAUAUGCGGAGGAACACCGAUGGCGAAGGCAAUCCCCUGGGCCUGCACUGACGCUCAUGCACGAAAGCGUGGGGAGCAAACAGG